rnacentral:rRNA from 1 species
UACGGGGGGGGCAAGCGUUGUUCGGAAUUACUGGGCGUAAAGGGUGCGUAGGCGGCGCGGUAAGUCGGGUGUGAAAUCUCGGAGCUUAACUCCGAAACUGCAUUCGAUACUGCCGUGCUUGAGGACUGGAGAGGAGACUGGAAUUUACGGUGUAGCGGUGAAAUGCGUAGAUAUCAGGAAGAACACCAACGGCGAAGGCAGCUCGCUGGGACGGAACUGACGCUGAGGCGCGAAAGCGUGGGGAGCGAACAGG